rnacentral:rRNA from 1 species
CCUACGGGAGGCAGCAGUGAGGAAUAUUGGUCAAUGGGCGGGAGCCUGAACCAGCCAAGCCGCGUGAGGGAAGAAGUAUUUCGGUAUGUAAAGCUCUAUCAGCAGGGAAGAAAGAAAUGACGGUACCUGACUAAGAAGCCCCGGCUAACUACGUGCCAGCAGCCGCGGUAAUACGUAGGGGGCAAGCGUUAUCCGGAUUUACUGGGUGUAAAGGGAGCGUAGACGGCGAUGCAAGUCUGAAGUGAAAGGCGGGGGCCCAACCUCCGGACUGCUUUGGAAACUGUAUGGCUGGAGUGCAGGAGAGGUAAGUGGAAUUCCUAGUGUAGCGGUGAAAUGCGUAGAGAUUAGGAGGAACACCAGUGGCGAAGGCGGCUUACUGGACUGUAACUGACGUUGAGGCUCGAAAGCGUGGGGAGCAAACAGGAUGAGAUACCCCAGUAGUC